GUUGUCAGAAAGUCAGCCACAUUCACUGCCAGGGUUGGAUUUUUGAACUGGUGACACAGGAUCUGCAAUUUAUUAUCAGUCUUCUGCACUCUGUUAGAUAUUGCACAGCAAUUGUAUUUUAUAACUAGGUAAAAAAAAAAGGGGGGGGGGGGGGGGGGGGGGGAGUAAUUUAAUAAGCACUUGGAAAUUGCCAAAUUACUUAACUGCUCUGUCCAGCACAGCAGUCUGGAGUGGAAAGGCCAGCACCUCACCCUUGGAAGGAAGAGGCAGAAAUAAAUCUGCAAUGGGCAAUUAGGAAACAGCCAGCCAGCUGGAAAGCUUCUGAUUAACCCAUUACUAAACACGUGGCUGAUGCUGCAAGAAGAGUCUUUUUAUUUUCCCUAAUUCAUAUGAAAUAGCUUUUUAUACCAUAUUAUUGUGAACAUUCUCCUUAUUCAUGUAUAUUUGAAUCACAUUAAAUUGUUGACAUCAAUGAUAUCUUCUGGCAAUGCUUUGUGUUGCGUAAUUAAUGCUGGGAAACUCAGGAUUCCUAUCAUUUAAUGAGAGUCAUUAUGUAUUAAUGAUUAGGCAGAUAUUAAUUACAUUUAGCAGCAAACAUUUUUCUCAGAAUCUAGUUGUUUAUGCACGGUGCUAAAUGCAUUGUGGGUGAAAGUGUGUGGCAGCUCUCCUUGCACUCUGUUAAGACUCAACGCUAAUGCUUCCUGCCUUGUAAAUCUGCCCAGUUAGCUGUGUACCUGGGGAAAAGAUCCUUGGCAAUUUUCGGCAUACUUUUUUGGAGGUCAGCGGAUCUUUACUUCCAGAAAUAGUGGUUCAUAGAGCAAAAGGAAAACUGACUUUCUUUUGGUUGCUGUGGUCAGGCUCUCUGUAACAGCUAUGGCUGAGUUUGAAACUGACCCUUCAGAAGUCUGAGCAUGGCUUCAUCUCGCUACUGCAACCAAUGGACUCAUCAGGAAUUACAAAGCUUUACAGCCCAGUUCAGAGAGCUUUGACUGUAGUCUUGUUGUUCAUGGACCAUGUACACCUGGCUGAGGAGAGAAAACCUGAAGUACUGACCCAACAGCAGAAUGGGGGGAGAGGAAAAUUCACAUAGAGGUGAUCUGCAGAUGAGCUUUUUCUAUGAACAGCAACAGUAAAAAAUUAAUUUACUAUGACAGUAAAUUAAUGUCAGGUAAAGCAAAUAUUUUUCUUUGCCUCAGCAGAUAACAUUUCUUUAUUUCCCUUUAGCCAUAUAAGAACAUAAAACUUUGAUACACCCUUAAAACAAAGCACUCAUUUGAAGUCAAAGUUCAUUUAGAGAAUGUUGAAAUUAAACAUUUACCAUUCAAGAAUUAAUU
rnacentral:lncRNA from 1 species